UCACAACUAUGUACACUCCUCUGGGCUCUUCAGGGAAAGAGCAGGGAUAAAAAUGAAAAUAAAUGUAAAAAUAAAAAGGUAUUAGAAACCAUAUGGAAAUACAAUUAAUUUGCAUAUUUGCUCUGAGUGUAGAAUUUAGACUUGGAAUGUUAUGCUUUCCCUAAAUUUUAUUUUUUUAAAAACCAAAAAGCAGAACAUAAGCCAGAGGUUACUAUGGAGAAACAUUCUCAAAGAAUAUGAAGACCUCUUUUGUGGUAUAUUUUAUUUUCCUCUUGUUCAGAAACUCCUUCUCAGCUUGUGCACCUUUUCCAUCAUCCUGAUCAUCUGCCAUGGAACCUGCACAAUACAUAGGAUGCCAGCACAGUUCAUAAACGGUAUAUGGGUGUAUCCAAAUUACUGUACCGAUCCUUACGACGGAAGCAUCCAUGCACAUGCGACCGUGUGGAAUACAGCACAUUGCCUAAGAUGUGGCUGCGGCCAUGGUUAUAUAGGAUGCUGUGCCAGAAUUCAAGGAGUUCCAACUUUUCCCGGCUGCAUUGCAAGGCAAGAUCCUGUGUCAUGUCAAUAUUUCCUUUAUAGAGUUGACGAACCCUCAGAGCUGUGUCUUACACAUUAAAAAACAAC